UUAAUCACAAGUUCAUCAAUCUUUAUUACAAAGAAUUAAAAGAACAUAAUAUUUUAUAAUAGACUCUGUGGUUUUCUAUUUACAUAUGGUCUUGAUAAAAUUACCAAAAGAUCAAGUCUACAAACUUAGUGUUCAAUAAAAAACAAACACAAAUCAAAUGUAUUAGCCUCAGAUCCAGGGAUUUUUUUUAUAGGGGUACCAGGAGGUUUUAGCCUUAAAGUUAAACAUGUCAAUUUAAACCCCUUGCCAAUUCUAAGAUUUUAAUUAUAUUCCAGAUUCUCAUAAAAAUGAC
rnacentral:lncRNA from 1 species